rnacentral:rRNA from 1 species
UUUGGUUGUCCGCGUUCAAGCGAGUAGGGAGAUCUCUUAGGUAAAUCCGGGGGGUCAAUUCCGAGACGCGAUAACGAGCUGUCAAGGCUUCGGUCUGACGGUGAAGUGGUUGAUGCCAUGCUUCCAGGAAAAGCCUCUAAGCUUCAGGUAACAAGGGACCGUACCCCAAACCGACACAGGUGGUCAGGUAGAGAAUACCAAGGCGCUUGAGAGAACUCGGGUGAAGGAACUAGGCAAAAUGGUACCGUAACUUCGGGAGAAGGUACGCCGCUUGGGGUGAUCGGACUUGCUCCGUGAGCUCCGGGCGGUCGAAGUGACCAGGUGGCUGCGACUGUUUAUUAAAAACACAGCACUCUGCAAACACGAAAGUGGACGUAUAGGGUGUGACGCCUGCCCGGUGCCGGAAGGUUAAUUGAUGGGGUCAGCCGCAAGGCGAAGCUCUUGAUCGAAGCCCCGGUAAACGGCGGCCGUAACAAUAACGGUCCUAAGGUAGCGAAAUUCCUUGUCGGGUAAGUUCCGACCAGCACGAAUGGCGUAACGAUGGCCACACUGUCUCCACCCGAGACUCAGUGAAAUUGAACUCGCUGUGAAGAUGCAGUGUACCCGCGGCUAGACGGAAAGACCCCGUGAACCUUUACUACAGCUUUGCACUGGACUCUGAAUCUGUUUGUGUAGGAUAGGUGGGAGGCUAUGAAGCCGGAACGCUAGUUCUGGUGGAGCCAACCUUGAAAUACCACCCUGACAUAUUUGGGGUUCUAACCCAGGCCCGUUAUCCGGGUCGGGGACAGUGUAUGGUGGGUAGUUUGACUGGGGCGGUCUCCUCCCAAAGAGUAACGGAGGAGCACGAAGGUACCCUCAGCGUGGUCGGAAAUCACGCUUUUGAGUGCAAAGGCAUAAGGGUGCUUGACUGCGAGAGCGACGGCUCGAGCAGGUGCGAAAGCAGGUCUUAGUGAUCCGGUGGUUCUGAAUGGAAGGGCCAUCGCUCAACGGAUAAAAGGUACUCCGGGGAUAACAGGCUGAUACCGCCCAAGAGUUCAUAUCGACGGCGGUGUUUGGCACCUCGAUGUCGGCUCAUCACAUCCUGGGGCUGAAGCCGGUCCCAAGGGUAUGGCUGUUCGCCAUUUAAAGUGGUACGCGAGCUGGGUUUAGAACGUCGUGAGACAGUUCGGUCCCUAUCUGCCGUGGGCGUUGGAGAUUUGAGGAAAGCUGCUCCUAGUACGAGAGGACCGGAGUGGACGAACCUCUGGUGUUCGGGUUGUCACGCCAGUGGCAUUGCCCGGUAGCUACGUUCGGACGGGAUAACCGCUGAAAGCAUCUAAGCGGGAAGCCUCUUCCAAGAUGAGAUCUCCCCGGGGACUCGAUCCCCCUGAAGGGUUGUUCAAGACCAGGACGUUGAUAGGUGGGGUGUGUAAGCGCUGUGAGGCGUUGAGCUAACCCAUACUAAUUGCCCGUGCGGCUUGACCG